GCGCCCAUAGCUCAGCAGGAUAGAGCAACGGUUUCCUAAACCGUGUGUCGGAGGUUCGAAUCCUCUUGGGUGCGCCA
rnacentral:tRNA from 1 species